rnacentral:rRNA from 1 species
UACGAAGGGUGCAAGCGUUACUCGGAAUUACUGGGCGUAAAGCGUGCGUAGGUGGUUUGUUAAGUCUGCUGUGAAAUCCCCGGCUCAACCUGGGAAUGGCAGUGGAUACUGGCAAGCUAGAGUGCGGUAGAGGGUAGUGGAAUUCCCGGUGUAGCGGUGAAAUGCGUAGAGAUCGGGAGGAACACCAGUGGCGAAGGCGGCUACCUGGACCAGCACUGACACUCAGGCACGAAAAGCGUGGGGGAGCAAACAGG